CCACCUCGGGACCCCCAAAAUCCCCCAAAUCCACCCCAAAAUAUCCCAAAACCACCCAAAACCCACCCAAAAUAACCCAAAAUAACCAAAAUAUCCCAAAUUCACCUCUACUACUUCGAGUACACCACGGUGAGACCCCAAAAAUCCCAAAAUUUACCCCAAAAUCAUCCAAAAUCCACCUCGGGACCCCCAAAAUCCCCCAAAUCCACCCCAAAAUAUCCCAAAACCACCCAAAACCCACCCAAAAUAACCCAAAAUAAACCAAAAUAUCCCAAAAUAACCAAAAUAUCCCAAAUUCACCUCUACUACUUUGAGUACACCACGGUGAGACCCCAAAAACCCCAAAAUUCACCCCAAAAUUCACCCCAAAAUAUCCAAAAUAUCCCAAAUUCACCUCUACUACUUCGAGUACACCACGGUGAGACCCCAAAAAGCCCAAAAUUCACCCCAAAAUUCCCAAAUUUACCCCAAAAUCCCCCAAAUCUGCCCCAAAAUACCCAAAAUAUCCCAAAAUCUGCCCAAAAAUCCACCUUGGGAUCCCCAAAAUCCUUCCCUGGGACCCCAAAUUCCCCGAAAAUCCCAGAAAUUCUCCCCAAAAUCCCCAAGUUUUGCCCCAAAAUUCCAAAAUUCCCAAAAUUCCCCCAAAAUUCCCAAAUUUCCAGGACAAGGAGCUGUGGGGAAUCAUCCAUGAGGUGGAAUCUGCCCCAAAAUCGCCCAAAUCCACCCCAAAAUUCUUCCCUGGGAUCCCAAAUUUCCCCAAAAAAUACCCAAAAAAUACCCAAAAAUUCCCAAAAUUCCCAAAAUUCCCCCAAAUUCCGGAAUUUCCAGGACAAGGAGCCGCGGGGAAUCAUCCCCCUGGAGAACCUGAGCAUCCGCGAGGUCGAGGAUCCGCGCAAGCCGGUGAGAGCCAAAAUCCCCCAAAAUCGCCCCAAAAAUCAUCCAAAAAUCAUCUCCAAAUGCCCCAAAAUUGCCCCAAAAAUCACCCCAAAAAUCAUCUCAAAAUGCCCCAAAAAUCAACCCGAAAUCAGCCCAAAAUUGUCCUAAAAUCCCCCAAAAAUCACCCCAAAAAUCAUCCAAAAAUCAUCUCCAAAUGCCCCAAAAUCGCCCCAAAAAUCACCCCAAAA
rnacentral:lncRNA from 1 species